rnacentral:rRNA from 1 species
UACGAAGGGGGCUAGCGUUGCUCGGAAUUACUGGGCGCAAAGGGCGCGUAGGCGGCCGAUCAAGUCAGAUGUGAAAGUCCUGGGCUUAACCUGGGGACUGCAUUUGAUACUGAUUGGCUUGAAUUCGGGAGAGGAUAGCGGAAUUCCCAGUGUAGAGGUGAAAUUCGUAGAUAUUGGGAAGAACACCGGUGGCGAAGGCGGCUAUCUGGACCGACAUUGACGCUGAGGCGCGAAAGCGUGGGGAGCAAACAGG